AUAUUUGCAUUAAUGUCUGCAUGCAUCAUACUAUCAUAUUGUUGCCGUCCUCUGUACAGGUGGUUCCUCUGUUUUGGGGUGGGAGUCAGUUGAGGUAAAAGGUCCAAUACCCAGACCAUGAGUGAAAAUCUAGGGUGAUUAGGAAUAGAGUGAUUCAUGGGAAGCGGGUGGUAUGGCGCCACUUAGCGGAACAUUGAUAUCACGAGCAGUUCAGACCCUGGUAGGAUAUGAUCGUUACAUACUUCGGGUGUGUAUAUGAUGGUAUUCUGCGAAAGGUUAUUUAUGCUGUGUUUCUCUCGACCUUACCCUGGCCUAGAUGACACCCGUGAGUGGGGAGGGAAUGAUCUUUAUUACAGGUACAGAUGGUGACUCAGGUGGUGACUAAUGGUUCCGUGGAUCAGAGUCCUAUUUAUAAGUCGGAUUUAUGGUCAUUUAUUGCCGUGACGCCGGAGUGCUGUCCGAUAUUUAUCAGUGGGGAUCCGUUUAUUUCAGGAUUCCCCGGGCCGAGUUACUUAUCAGUGGGGAUCCGUUUAUUUCAGGAUUCCCUGGGCCGAUUCAGAUGGUGAUGGUGUGUCUGCUCAGAGACCAGUGAUGAUGAUGAUGGUGUAUCUGUCUUCCGUUUAUUUCGGAACCCUUGAGGUGGAUUUGUGGUUACAUAUUCCUCAGAUGGUUAUGAUCAGUUCAGAAAUCAAGGCUGUGACUCAGUACAGAGGAUCAGAUGACUUGGAGGAUGGCACAGUGCAUUGCAUUCAUCUGCAUCAUUCUCAUUUUGCAUUCAUCUGCACCUAACCUACGUCUAGCCAUAUGGGGGAGUAUUAUUGAUUGAGAAUCUGGUUGAGAGACAUCCUGAUGUCAGAAUGCUAUUUUCAAAAAUUUUAUCUGUCUCGAUGAAACCAGAAUCAAAAGACAGAAGCUUCCUCAUAUGGAUAGACGUUGCAUUCAUGCAUAUUAACCCGUUUGCUGUUUUGCAGGAAUCAUUGCUCGCGCUCGUAGAGUCAUCCCUUUGCACUUAACCCGACCUCACAGAUAUUACACCAGGCAACAAAUCCAAACUGAUGGAUCCGUCCAACGCUGACAUUCUCGAGCUGAAAGAGAAGAUGGGAGAGCUGAUCAAUGUCAUGCAAGAGUUCGCCUUGGGGCAGAAAGUACUUGCCGAAAAGGUGAGGAGGAUUGAAGACUGGCUGGAGAUGGGGAACAUGCAAGGAAAUGCUUCGUCAUCUGGACUGAAGAAAUCCUUUGGUAAUAACCAGCGCAAGGAUGAGGGUGAAUCGAGUGCUGUGCACGCCCAGAGGGGGCACGGUAGGGGUCGUUA
rnacentral:lncRNA from 1 species